UACGGGGGGGGCAAGCGUUGUUCGGAAUUACUGGGCGUAAAGGGCCCGUAGGCGGCCAACUAAGUCAGACGUGAAAUCCCUCGGCUUAACCGGGGAACUGCGUCUGAUACUGGAUGGCUUGAGUUUGGGAGAGGGAUGCGGAAUUCCAGGUGUAGCGGUGAAAUGCGUAGAUAUCUGGAGGAACACCGGUGGCGAAGGCGGCAUCCUGGACCGGUAUUGACGCUGAGGCGCGAAAGCUAGGGGAGCAAACGGG
rnacentral:rRNA from 1 species